rnacentral:rRNA from 1 species
CCUACGGGGGGCAGCAGUGAGGAAUAUUGGUCAAUGGGCGCGAGCCUGAACCAGCCAAGUCGCGUGAAGGAUGACUGCCCUACGGGUUGUAAACCUCUUUUAUAAAGGAAUAAAGUGAGGCACGCGUGCCUUUUUGUAUGUACUUUAUGAAUAAGCAUCGGCUAACUCCGUGCCAGCAGCCGCGGUAAUACGGAGGAUCCGAGCGUUAUCCGGAUUUAUUGGGUUUAAAGGGAGCGUAGAUGGGUUGUUAAGUCAGUUGUUAAAGUUUGGGGCUCAACCGGAAAAUUGCAAUUGAUACUGGCAGUCGUGAGUACAGUUGAGGUAGGCGGAAUGCGUGGUGUAGCGGUGAAAUGCUUAGAUAUCACGAAGAACUCCGAUUGCGAAGGCAGCUU